CAGUCGUACCGACGAGAAAUCAGCCUUUCGAAUGUGCAUUUGUGGGCGUAUGAGAUCUUCAUUGUUUGCAAUAUGUAUGUUUCUUUGGUGUACUUUUUCGUAUGGUAGGUCAACGUCGGUUUUGAUCGCCAUAAAAUGAUCGGAGGAAUGUAGCUUCGACCUCGGUUGAAGUGUUAUAGCCUUUGGUAAAUGUGGUGAUUAGGACCGAGGAUUGCAACGAAUACCUUUUAGGCUAUCCGUCUGACCUCUGAAAGUUAAUUAGGUGCCGAAAGCUUGCUUACGGUCAUUUAAGUUGACGGUCAAAAGGUUAGAACGUGAUUACA
rnacentral:rRNA from 1 species